GGCUGGAAACGGCCGCUAAUACCCCAUAUGCCGAGAGGUGAAAUGAAUUUCGCCUGAGGAUGAGCCCGCGUCUGAUUAGCUAGUUGGUGGGGUAAAGGCCUACCAAGGCAACGAUCAGUAGCUGGUCUGAGAGGAUGAUCAGCCACACUGGGACUGAGACACGGCCCAAACUCCUACGGGAGGCAGCAGUGGGAAUUUUCCGCAAUGGGCGAAAGCCUGACGGAGCAACGCCGCGUGAGGGAUGAAGGCCUCUGGGCUGUAAACCUCUUUUCUCAAGGAAGAAGACCUGACGGUACUUGAGGAAUAAGCCACGGCUAAUUCCGUGCCAGCAGCCGCGGUAAUACGGGAGUGGCAAGCGUUAUCCGGAAUUAUUGGGCGUAAAGCGUCCGCAGGCGGCCUUGUAAGUCUGUUGUUAAAGCGUGGAGCUCAACUCCAUUUAAGCAAUGGAAACUACAUGGCUGGAGUGUGGUAGGGGCAGAGGGAAUUCCCGGUGUAGCGGUGAAAUGCGUAGAUAUCGGGAAGAACACCAGUGGCGAAGGCGCUCUGCUGGGCCAUAACUGACGCUCAUGGACGAAAGCCAGGGGAGCGAAAGGGAUUAGAUACCCCUGUAGUCCUGGCCGUAAACGAUGAGCACUAGGUGUCGGGGGAAUCGACCCCCUCGGUGUCGUAGCCAACGCGUUAAGUGUUCCGCCUGGGGAGUACGCACGCAAGUGUGAAACUCAAAGGAAUUGACGGGGGCCCGCACAAGCGGUGGAGUAUGUGGUUUAAUUCGAUGCAACGCGAAGAACCUUACCAGGGUUUGACAUCCUGCGAACCCCUGAGAAAUCGGGGGGUGCCUUCGGGAGCGCAGAGACAGGUGGUGCAUGGCUGUCGUCAGCUCGUGUCGUGAGAUGUUGGGUUAAGUCCCGCAACGAGCGCAACCCACGUCUUUAGUUGCCAGCAUUCAGUUGGGCACUCUAGAGAGACCGCCGGUGAUAAACCGGAGGAAGGUGUGGAUGACGUCAAGUCAUCAUGCCCCUUACAUCCUGGGCUACACACGUACUACAAUGCUACGGACAAAGGGCAGCAAGCUCGCGAGAGUUAGCAAAUCCCAUAAACCGUGGCUCAGUUCAGAUCGUAGGCUGCAACUCGCCUACGUGAAGGAGGAAUCGCUAGUAAUCGCAGGUCAGCAUACUGCGGUGAAUACGUUCCCGGGCCUUGUACACACCGCCCGUCACACCAUGGAAGUUGGCCAUGCCCGAAGUCGUUACUCCAACCCUUGUGGAGGAGGACGCCGAAGGUGGGGCUGAUGACUGGGGUGAAGUCGAAACAAGGUA
rnacentral:rRNA from 1 species